UGGGGAAUUUUGGGCAAUGGGCGAAAGCCUGACCCAGCAACGCCGCGUGAAGGAUGAAGUAUUUCGGUAUGUAAACUUCGAAAGAAUAGGAAGAAUAAAUGACGGUACUAUUUAUAAGGUCCGGCUAACUACGUGCCAGCAGCCGCGGUAAUACGUAGGGACCAAGCGUUGUUCGGAUUUACUGGGCGUAAAGGGCGCGUAGGCGGCAAUUCAAGUCAUCUGUGAAAUCUCCGGGCUUAACUCGGAACGGCCAAGUGAUACUGUCGCGCUAGAGUGCAGAAGGGGCAAUCGGAAUUCUUGGUGUAGCGGUGAAAUGCGUAGAUAUCAAGAGGAACACCUGAGGUGAAGACGGGUUGCUGGGCUGACACUGACGCUGAGGCGCGAAAGCCAGGGGAGCAAACGGGAUUAGAUACCCCCGUAGUCCCUGAGCGGGCUGGCAAGGCGCAU
rnacentral:rRNA from 1 species